rnacentral:rRNA from 1 species
GCAGGCCUAACACAUGCAAGUCGAACGGUAACAGAAAGCAGCUUGCUGCUUUGCUGACGAGUGGCGGACGGGUGAGUAAUGUCUGGGAAACUGCCUGAUGGAGGGGGAUAACUACUGGAAACGGUAGCUAAUACCGCAUAACGUCGCAAGACCAAAGAGGGGGACCUUAGGGCCUCUUGCCAUCGGAUGUGCCCAGAUGGGAUUAGCUAGUAGGUGGGGUAACGGCUCACCUAGGCGACGAUCCCUAGCUGGUCUGAGAGGAUGACCAGCCACACUGGAACUGAGACACGGUCCAGACUCCUACGGGAGGCAGCAGUGGGGAAUAUUGCACAAUGGGCGCAAGCCUGAUGCAGCCAUGCCGCGUGUAUGAAGAAGGCCUUCGGGUUGUAAAGUACUUUCAGCGGGGAGGAAGGGAGUAAAGUUAAUACCUUUGCUCAUUGACGUUACCCGCAGAAGAAGCACCGGCUAACUCCGUGCCAGCAGCCGCGGUAAUACGGAGGGUGCAAGCGUUAAUCGGAAUUACUGGGCGUAAAGCGCACGCAGGCGGUUUGUUAAGUCAGAUGUGAAAUCCCCGGGCUCAACCUGGGAACUGCAUCUGAUACUGGCAGGCUUGAGUCUCGUAGAGGGGGGUAGAAUUCCAGGUGUAGCGGUGAAAUGCGUAGAGAUCUGGAGGAAUACCGGUGGCGAAGGCG